rnacentral:rRNA from 1 species
AACGAACGCUGGCGGCAUGCCUAACACAUGCAAGUCGAACGAGACCUUCGGGUCUAGUGGCGCACGGGUGCGUAGCGCGUGGGAACCUGCCCUUAGGUUCGGAAUACCUCCCCGAAAGGGGUGCUAAUACCGGAUAAUGUCUUCGGACCCAAGAUUUAUCGCGUUUGGAUGGGCCCGCGUUGGAUUAGCUUGUUGGUAGGGUAAAAGCCUACCAAGGAGACGAUCCUUAGCUGGGCUGAGAGGAUGGUCAGCCACACUGGGACUGGGACACGGCCCAGACUCCUACGGGAUGCAGCAGUGGGGAAUAUUGGACAAUGGGCGGAAGGCUGAUCCAGCAAUGCCGCGUGAGUGAUGUAGGCCUUAGAGUUGUAAAGCUCUUUUACCCGGGAUGAUAAUGACGGUACCGGGAGAAUAAGCUCCGGCUAACUCCGUG